rnacentral:rRNA from 1 species
UACGUAGGGGGCAAGCGUUGUCCGGAAUCAUUGGGCGUAAAGAGCGUGUAGGCGGCCAGAAAAGUCCGCUGUGAAAACUCGAGGCUCAACUUCGAGCUGUCGGUGGAAACUUUCUGGCUAGAGUCCGGAAGAGGAGAAUGGAAUUCCAGGUGUAGCGGUGAAAUGCGUAGAUAUCUGGAGGAACACCGGUGGCGAAGGCGGCAUCCUGGACCGGCAUUGACGCUGAGGCGCGAAAGCCAGGGGAGCAAACGGG